rnacentral:rRNA from 1 species
UGGGGAAUCUUGCGCAAUGGGCGAAAGCCUGACGCAGCAACGCCGCGUGCGGGAUGAAGGCUCUCGGGUCGUAAACCGCUUUCAGCAGGGACGAAAAUGACGGUACCUGCAGAAGAAGCUCCGGCUAACUACGUGCCAGCAGCCGCGGUAAUACGUAGGGAGCAAGCGUUGUCCGGAUUUAUUGGGCGUAAAGAGCUCGUAGGUGGUUCGGUAAGUCGGGUGUGAAAAAUCUGGGCUCAACCCAGUGGAGCACCCGAUACUGCUGUGACUUGAGUACGGUAGAGGAGUGUGGAAUUCCUAGUGUAGCGGUGAAAUGCGCAGAUAUUAGGAGGAACACCAACGGCGAAGGCAGCACUCUGGGCCGGUACUGACACUGAGGAGCGAAAGCAUGGGGAGCAAACA